ACUGCUAUCGGGAUAGGACUAAGACAUGCUAGUCAAGCGCUUUCUAGCUAAUGUGAAAGCGCGGCAUACAGCUCAGUAACACGUGGCUAACCUGCCCUUGGGACGGAGACACCCCCCGGGAAACUGGGGUUAAUUUCCGAUAGGUGAAAGAUUCUGGAAUGAAUUUUCGCUUAAAAGGCGUUUAUGUCAUGCUCAUAGGCGUUGCCCAGGGAUGGGGCCGCGACCGAUCAGGUUGUUGGUGAGGUAAUGGCUCACCAAGCCUUUUACCGGUACGGGCCGUGAGAGCGGGAGCCCGGAGAUGGGCACUGAGACAAGGGCCCAGGCCCUACGGGGCGCAGCAGUCGCGAAAACUUUGCAAUACACGAAAGUGUGACAAGGCUAUCCCGAGUGCCAUCCGCUGAGGAAGGCUUUUACCCAGUAUAAAUAGCUGGGAGAAUAAGGAGAGGGCAAGUCUGGUGUCAGCCGCCGCGGUAAUACCAGCUCUCCGAGUAGUGUGGAUGUUUAUUGGGCCUAAAGCAUCCGUAGCUUGCUAAGCAAGUCCCCUGUUAAAUCCACCGAUUCAAUCGGUGGAUUGCGGGGGAUACUGUUUGGCUAGGGGACGGGAGAGGCCGACGGUAUUUCCGGGGUAGGGGUGAAAUCCUAUAAUCCCGGGAAGACCACCAGUGGCGAAGGCUGUCGGCUAGAACGCGCCCGACGGUGAGGGAUGAGAGCUGGGGGAGCGAACCGGAUUAGAUACCCGGGUAGUCCCAGCUGUAAACGAUGCAGGCUAGGUGUUUGGGCGGCCACGAGCCGCUCUAGUGCCGCAGGGAAGCUGUUAAGCCUGCCGCCUGGGGAGUACGGCCGCAAGGCUGAAACUUAAAGGAAUUGGCGGGGGAGCACCACAAGGGGUGAAG
rnacentral:rRNA from 1 species